GACGAACGCUGGCGGCGUGCCUAAUACAUGCAAGUCGAACGGUCUUCUCUAUGGAAGCUUGCUUCCGCUGAGAAGAUAGUGGCGAACGGGUGAGUAACACGUGGGUAACCUGCCCAUAAGAGGGGGAUAACAUCCGGAAACGGGUGCUAAUACCGCAUAGUUUUCUUGAUCGCAUGAUCGAGAAAGGAAAGACGGCCUUUGUGCUGUUGCUUAUGGAUGGACCCGCGGCGUAUUAGUUAGUUGGUGAGGUAACGGCUCACCAAGACGAUGAUACGUAGCCGACCUGAGAGGGUGAUCGGCCACAUUGGGACUGAGACACGGCCCAAACUCCUACGGGAGGCAGCAGUAGGGAAUCUUCCGCAAUGGACGAAAGUCUGACGGAGCAACGCCGCGUGAGUGAAGAAGGUUUUCGGAUCGUAAAACUCUGUUGUCAGAGAAGAACAAGUCGGAGAGUAACUGCUCCGGCCUUGACGGUAUCUGACCAGGAAGCCACGGCUAACUACGUGCCAGCCGCCGCGGUAAAAC
rnacentral:rRNA from 1 species